rnacentral:tRNA from 1 species
AGUUAUUUAGCUAAUAUAAGCUUUUGUUUUGAAAGCAAAAAAUAGGAAGUAUCUUAAUAACUU